rnacentral:tRNA from 1 species
GCCAGUGUGGCUCAGUGGGUAGAGCAUCAGCCUGCAGACUGAAGGGUCCCAGGUUCGAUUCCGGUCAAGGGCA